rnacentral:rRNA from 1 species
AGAGUUUGAUUCUGGCUCAGAACGAACGCUGGCAGCGUGGAUUAGGCAUGCAAGUCGAACGGGAAACCGCAGCUUCAAGUUUUCGAACGAGAAGUUGCGGUGGAGAGUGGCGAAAGGGUGAGUAACGCGUGGGUAACCUACCUCUAAGUUUGGGACAACCCGCCGAAAGGCGGGCUAAUACCGGAUGUGGUUUCCUGAUGCAUAUCAGGAUAAUUAAAGGCGCCUCGAUUUAUCGGGGUGUCGCUUUGAGAGGGGCCCGCGUACCAUCAGCUUGUUGGUGAGGUAAUGGCUCACCAAGGCUUACGGUUAGCCGGCCUGAGAGGGUGAUCGGCCACACUGGGACUGAGACACUGCCCAGACUCCUACGGGGGGCUGCAGUCGAGGAUCAUUGACAAUGCGCGAAAGCGUGAUCAUGCGACGCUGCGUGGAGGAUGACGGCCUUCGGGUUGUAAACUCCUGUCAUUCGGGAAAAACAGUGCGGGAAUUAAUGCCUCCCGUACCUGAUGGUACCGGAAGAGGAAGCCACGGCUAACUCUGUGCCAGCAGCCGCGGUAAUACAGAGGUGGCGAGCGUUGUUCGGAUUUACUGGGCGUAAGGCGUACGUAGGUGGUGUCGUAUGUCGGACGUGAAAUCCCAUGGCUCAACUGUGGAAUUGCAUCCGAAACUGCGAUACUUGAGUGCAGGAGGGGAGAGCGGAAUUCUUGGUGUAGCGGUGAAAUGCGUUGAUAUCAAGAAGAACACCGGUGGCGAAGGCGGCUCUCUGGAAUGUUACUGACACUGAGGUACGAAAGUUGGGGUAGCAAACAGGAUUAGAUACCCUGGUAGUCCCAACCGUAAACGGUGUGCACUUGGUGUGGGGGGAAUUGACCCCCUCCGUGCCGGAGCUAACGCGUUAAGUGCACCGCCUGGGGAGUACGGCCGCAAGGCUAAAACUCAAAGAAAUUGACGGGGGCCCGCACAAGCGGAGGAGCAUGUGGCUUAAUUCGAUGCAACGCGAAGAACCUUACCAGGGCUUGACAUGUAACUGCACGCCCGUCGAAAGGCGGGAAGCUUUCGAAGGUGUUACACAGGUGCUGCAUGGCUGUCGUCAGUUCGUGCCGUGAGGUGUUUGGUUAAGUCCAGCAACGAACGCAACCCUUGUGUCUAAUUGCCACCGUAGGUGAUGAGCCUGCGAGCACUCUAGACAGACUGCCCGUAUACGCGGGAGGAAGGUGGGGACGACGUCAAGUCAGUAUGGCCCUUACGCCCUGGGCUGCACACGUGCUACAAUGGAUGGUAUAAAGGGAUGCAAUGCCGCGAGGUGGAGCAAAUCCCCAAAACCAUCCUCAGUUCGGAUUGGAGUCUGCAACUCGACUCCAUGAAGUCGGAUUCGCUAGUAAUGGCGCAUCAGCUACGGCGCCGUGAAUACGUUCCCGGGCCUUGUACGC